rnacentral:tRNA from 1 species
UGGAUCACCUCCUAACAGGGAGACAACAAAAUGUUUAAUAUUAUUAUUUUGUCACCUUAGGUCGAUCGGUAUCUCACGUUUUUAAUUUAUUAAGAAUUUCAUUUCCUAAGUUUUUCUAGGUCACACCCAUUAUUUUUCCUGGGCCAUUAGCUCAGGUGGUUAGAGCGCACCCCUGAUAAGGGUGAGGUCCCUGGUUCAAGUCCAGGAUGGCCCAUAUCUCUAUGUUGGGGGUAUAGCUCAGUUGGUAGAGCGCCUGCUUUGCAAGCAGGAUGUCAGCGGUUCGAGUCCGCUUACCUCCACUGAUUACCACCUCUUCCAUAACCGGUAGAAAGGAAAUGUUUUGAGUCGUGAUCAAAUUCUGAAAGAAUCUAGCUUCCUAAUGAAAUCAUUAAGAAGCUGGACUCAUUGAAUUAAUUUCACUGUUUUCAGAGAACCUUGACAACUGCAUAGAUUAUUUUUAAAGACAAUAAGCAUCUUUAAUGAUGCAGAUUUAUUAUUUGUGCGAAUGCAUUAAUAACAAUUCUAUUAAGCUGAUGCUUCAAUUUUUGAAGUUAUUGGUCAAGCUACAAAGGGCUCACGGAGGAUACCUAGGCACACAGAGGCGAUGAAGG